UGCUUGGAAGCAGCAAUUCAUUUAAAGAGUGCGUAACAGCUCACUAGUCGAGUGAUCGAGCGCGGAAAAUAAUCGGGCAUCAAGUGUACCACCGAAGCUAUGGAUUAGCAGCAAAUGCUGUUAGUGGUAGAGGAGCAUUCCAGUCUGCUGCGAAGGUGUAUCGUGAGGUAUGCUGGAGCGUCUGGAAAAGAAAAUGUAGGUAUAAGUAACGAUAAAAUAUGUGAGAAACAUAUUCGCCGUAAGACUAAGGGUUCCUGAUCAACGUUAAUCGGAUCAGGGUUAGUCGGGGCCUAAGGUGCACCCGAGAGGGGAAACCGAUGGGAAAGGAGUUAAUAUUCUUGUACCAGCUUAUGCUGCGAUGGGGUGACGGAGUAGUGAAAGUCCUGCGUACGGACGGAAGUGUACGUUAAAGGGCGUAGUUUAUGAGAGGGCCAGGCAAAUCCAGUCCUUGAGAUGAAACCCGAUAGUACCGCGAUCUUUUAAGAGAGCGGAUAAUGGACCUAAUCAUACUUCCAAGAAAAACCUCUAAGCUUCAGGCAUAAGCUGCCCGUACCGCAAACCGACACAGGUAGUCGAGGAGAGUAUCCUCAGGCGCUCGAGUGAUUCACGGCUAAGGAACUCGGCAAAAUAGACCCGUAACUUCGGGAGAAGGGUCGCCCCGCGCAAGCGGGGCCGCAGUAAAAAGGCUCAGGCGACUGUUUAGCAAAAACACAGGGCUCUGCAAAAUCGAAAGAUGAAGUAUAGGGCCUGACACCUGCCCGGUGCUGGAAGGUUAAGGAAGCUUGUUAGUGGGAAACUGCGAAGCUUGUAACUGAAGCCCCAGUAAACGGCGGCCGUAACUAUAACGGUCCUAAGGUAGCGAAAUUCCUUGUCGGGUAAGUUCCGACCUGCACGAAUGGUGUAACGAUCUGAGCACUGUCUCGGCCGUGAGCUCGGUGAAAUUGUAGCCCCGGUGAAGAUGCCGGGUACCCGCAACGGGACGGAAAGACCCCGUGAACCUUCACUAUAGCUUUGCAUUGGUUUUGAGUAAAUAAUGUGUAGGAUAGGUGGGAGGCUGCGAAGCAGGCACGCUAGUGUUUGUGGAGCCGUCCUUGAAAUACCACCCUUUAUUUACUUAGAGUCUAACUCUUUGAAAGAGGACAGUGCAUGGUGGGUAGUUUGACUGGGGUGGUCGCCUCCAAAAGAGUAACGGAGGCUUUCAAAGGUACCCUCAGCACGCUUGGUAACCGUGCGUAGAGCGCAAUAGUAUAAGGGUGCUUGACUGUAAGACCGACGGGUCAAGCAGGUAGGAAACUAGGAUAUAGUGAUCCGGUGGUUCCGUAUGGAAGGGCCAUCGCUCAUAGGAUAAAAGGUACUCCGGGGAUAACAGGCUGAUCCUACCCAAGAGCUCAUAUCG
rnacentral:rRNA from 1 species